CAGACAUUUACUACAUAUCAAAAGUGUUUAGCUGACAAAUUGAUCUUGAUAUUUGAAGAUUCUCCAGCUGACUAGGCGGUUGGAAGUUUCAAAUUGUGGGUUUGGCUAGUUCUUUUGGGCGGAACUCCUGCGCUAUUUCUCUCGGCAUUGAGUUCUUGUCUAGGACAUCUAAGAAGGGUUGAUGCUGUUCAAUGGCCACACAAAAAGCAAGGAACUUGAAGGAUUCAAAUCCAGGAGGAGCCACUCCAACACUGCUGUAGUUACUCCACGUGCAGAUAUUGGGCUAAAGAAGCAGGCCCCAUCAAUAGUCAGUAAACAACUACUGACUGCGUCUUCUUCUGUUUGUAUCUCUGUGAGAGAAUGA
rnacentral:lncRNA from 1 species